UACGUAGGGUGCAAGCGUUGUCCGGAAUUAUUGGGCGUAAAGAGCUCGUAGGCGGUCUGUCGCGUCGAAUGUGAAACCCCGAGGCUCAACCUCGGGUCUGCAUUCGAUACGGGCAGACUAGAGUUCGGUAGGGGAGUCUGGAAUUCCUGGUGUAGCGGUGAAAUGCGCAGAUAUCAGGAGGAACACCAAUGGCGAAGGCAGAUCUCUGGGCCGUAACUGACGCUGAGGAGCGAAAGCAUGGGGAGCGAACAGG
rnacentral:rRNA from 1 species